rnacentral:rRNA from 1 species
GUGGCGUUCCGGUGAGUAGCGCGUGGGAACCUGCCCUGUUGUGGGGGAUAACCGAGGGAAACUUCGGCUAAUACCGCAUAAGCCGGGAAACCGGGAAAGAUUUAUCGCGACAGGAGGGGCCCGCGUCGGAUUAGCUGGUUGGUGGGGUAACGGCCUACCAAGGCGAUGAUCCGUAGCUGGUCUGAGAGGAUGAUCAGCCACACUGGGACUGAGACACGGCCCAGACUCCUACGGGAGGCAGCAGUGGG